rnacentral:lncRNA from 1 species
UCCAACUUCUAUUUUGCGACAAGAUUUAUAGAAUGCUUGUCGCAUGCUCUUGGCUAUGCCGCCAACAAUAAGCAACGACUUGAAAUAUUUUAAUAAUCAAGGGGGAGGUAAUAACGGCUCAUGGUAUGAAAGAAAAUAAAAUAAAUUGCUUUAGAAAUAAAAAGAACGAAGGACGGAUUUGAGGGGACAUGCCUUGGGAGUUCUUACGCAGUAAGGACUUUAACAGCAACAAUCAUUUUUUUGCGGUUAAGAAAACGAAUUAAGGAUGUCAUUAUCAAAAUAAAAAUCAUAAAAAAGCAAGAAGACUCGAAUAAUGAAAGAUGUCAAUUUUGAUCACACAUGACUUCUUGAUAAAACAAAAAAUUAAAGAACAAGGGUAAUGUGUGAAGCAAAGGUACGCCUUUAUCGCUCUUUCAACAAGUGUUUUCAACGGAUAAAUGCCUGUCAGCAGGGACCAUGGGCGGACUACUUGGCAUCACCAAAUCUGUCAUCAGAGGAAUAUCGCGUCUUUCUUCAUUAUCGAGUUGAGAAUUCAACCCCAAUUCUAAAGAAAAAUCAUAUCUUUCUGGUAAUUGAGGUGAAUUCUCAAUGUUAUUGGAUUUUGCAACCGAAGACAAUGCCUUUGAUAAAUCAAACUUUGGCUUAUGCCUUGGUGUCAAUACGUUUUGGUCAGGGUCAGACAAAAAUAACUCUGACCUCCAGGGUGAUGGACUUUGUUGUUGCUUUUGUAAGGUAGUUGGUUUUGGAGGGGUUCUGAAAUAGCACUCUAAAUCAUCAUUUUCUUUUUCUGAAUCGCAAACAGGCAGAGUUGGCUCUGUCUCUUCUUUAUUUACUUUAGGCAUAGGCUUUGUUGUGGUUUUCAAAGGAAAAGCGACGUUUUCCUUGUCAGUACACAUGAAAUCAGUUUUUCUUAAAACAUCAUUUUGUAUAUUGGCACUUAGUGAAUUUGGUAAUACCAGCCAACUAUCAUUAGACCCAAUUUCGGAUAAAGGCUCACGAAAUGAUGUAUCAGGAGUAGGUGCAACAAUGGGAGAUGAUUGUAUGCGUCUGAGGUCAUUUUUCAGCUUAGCAGUACGGGGACCUCCUCUGGAUUUCUGCUGAUUAACAACAGAGGGUUUUGAGAUAUGAUUGGGAUCAGGUGCAGAGUGUGUUGAGUCUAAAGACGUAAGUCUAUUCAGAGGAGAGUGCCGUCCUGCAUUUUCAAGCUCACGGAAGAUGGAUAUAGAUAGUUUUCGUUGCUGGGAAAGUUUAUAUACGGCUAACUCAAGCUGAGCAAAUGCAUCAUUUUCCAACGGUUUCUCUGUUUCAAAUGCUUUAUAGGUAGACCAUAAAUUUCUUGGACGCAUCGAGCGCCGACUCGUCCAAUAUAUACCACAUGCAUUACAAAGCAUCAAAGUUAUGUUCAUGUACGUAGCAUUGCGCCAAUUGGCAGUUUUGAUGGUUCCACAGUUUUGACAAUAUGGUGGAAUUUUCCCUUCUUGCAAGCUCAAGGUAAGUUGUUCUUCAAUUCGAUUCUUCCCACGUACAUUGGUAAACUUUUUCUCAAUGCGCCCACGAGCUAUUCGAACUUGUUCUUUAAUAAAUUCAUGAACUUGUUCACGUUCAGAUGGAUUUUGUAGCUGAGCUGCAACAUAAGCCGACUCUGGCGAAAUGGUGCUACUUUCACGUCGGCGUUUUUUUGUGCUUACUGCAGAAUUUACAGUAGUAGACGACGCAGAACAUACAGGGUCAGUAGCAGGAUGGUCAAGCGCCGCUUGAUGAUCGAGUAUGUAUGGCUCAGAGAAAGAAGUUGCAGAGCAUGAAAUGUCAUUUGACGCAUGGAACAAAGAAUCUAACUCAAGCUCUUCAACAUUUGUUUCAGCUAAUGCGGAGGGACGUGAAGGAGAUUUUAAUUCGCGGACAGACUUUUGUUUGGAAAGACCGUUUAUGUUGACAGGACAUGUAUAGUUCGUAUCAAACAAAGAUCCAGAAAUAGAAUCGGAUUUUUCGGAAGAUGAUGGAUCAAAUAUAAGAGAUGGAGGUAAAGUGGAAGAUAAAAAUUUAGAAGACGUAUGUGUUUCUGGAGUUCCAACCUCGAAGGAGUUCUGCAAGGAUUGGAAUCUCAACUUGAUUUCUAUGGACCGUUGAAUACCGAACUCUACAAUAAACCCAUUCACCCAAACUGUGUCGGAAUUUGACGUGCCAGCAUUAAGAGUAGGAGAUAACAACAAAGAAGACCAAUAGCCUAGUCCGACGAAGAGUUCAUCUGGUUCCGUAUGGUCUAAAAAAUACACGCUAAAAUCACCUUGUGAUUUGCAACUCAAUUCAGGACUACAGCGGCAAACUGUUUGUAUAACAUGCUGAAUGUCUACCUGGCAAAUCACUUUUUUCGGUUCCACUUCCUUCAGCACCUGAAUGGGCACAGCAUGUUGAGACUUUGCUAAACAGCGAAUCGCGGAUGCGCGAUCAAUACAAUAAAUAACACGAACUAAACACAGACAAACAUUAGAAAAAAUGAAUAAAAUUAUGAAAGACAAAUGAAGAGCUAAAGAGCAAAGCCAUUUAGCUGGAAAAGCAAGACAUACGAGGUAAAGACGUUACCGUGUUCAGAGACUUUUCCAUCAUUGUUCGCGAAGGGGAGACAAUGGCUUGGGUCUCGUAGCUUCAAGAGUUCCUCCUCCUUCAACGAACGAACACUUUGACAAUCAAUUCGUAUUCUAUAGGGGAAUAUCGAUGAAGAAUGUGUUGUGUUGUUGGUGGGUUAAAUCUUUGGCUAGCAUGAAAUGAAUGUCGAGUCGCGCUUCCUAAUGAAAAUUCCGGGCAUCCAAAGAUACAGUAAAUUUUAAAUUUUAUAAUAAAAAUGUAUAUGAAUGUCUAUUUUUUAAAAAAAUAACGCGUGAAUUAUCGCGUUUUCGAAGAUAUUUGAACAACCCAGUUUUUGACUUGAUUUACUUAAGACUUUAGAUACGCUCGAAACGACACUAAUCCCCAUAUUGUUACUUGGUAAUGUGUGUUACCUAAUGUUUGGAAUUUUAUAACAAAUGGUAUUUCCAUUAUAAAAAGUAAAAUAAAGGCAUUGAAAGCAUAAAUUAUUUAUUUUUCAAUAUAUUAUAUAAUUGCUAAAUUCCUAUAUUUAUUAAUGAGUAGGCAAUAUCGUUUACUCUCAUGGAUGCUGAACUUUUCCAAGCUCACUAUGACCGCCGAAGCUAAAAGCGAUAAUGGUAACUUUUAAUUUCUGGC